AUGGGUCAUAUCCUCCUUUCUGAAAACAAAAACAAUUGCAAGUUGCAAACUGGGCAACUCAGUAUGCAAGUUCAGACAACAACAACAACAGCUCAUGUCAAACUGCAGUAUACAACAAGUUCAAUUUCAAGUAUGCAAGUUCAGACAACAACAACAACAACAGCUCAUGUCAAACUGCAGUAUACAACAAGUUCAAUUUCAGAGAAUCAGGGGUCGUCCCUUAUAGGAAGGGACAUUAAUCUCUGUACGAAUUGGGAUCUUGCACCCCCAAAAAACAUUCUGACACUCCACCCCUCUGCUGUUGUAGGUUUGGAGAUAAAAUAG
rnacentral:rRNA from 1 species